rnacentral:rRNA from 1 species
CACGUAGGGCGCGAGCGUUGUCCGGAAUUACUGGGCGUAAAGCGCACGUAGGCGGCUUUGUAAGUUAGAGGUGAAAGCCCGGGGCUCAACUCCGGAAUUGCCUUUAAGACUGCAUCGCUAGAAUUGUGGAGAGGUAAGUGGAAUUCCGAGUGUAGAGGUGAAAUUCGUAGAUAUUCGGAAGAACACCAGUGGCGAAGGCGACUUACUGGACACAUAUUGACGCUGAGGUGCGAAAGCGUGGGGAGCAAACAGG